rnacentral:snRNA from 1 species
AUCGCUUCUCGGCCUUUUGGCUAAGAUCAAGUGUAGUAUCUGUUCUUAUCAGUUUAAUAUCUGAUACGCCCCCGAUUCGGGGGCAACGUAUUAAACGCAUUUUUAGAACAGGAAGCUGAAUAAGGGGCUCGCUCCGUUCGCUCCACGCAUCGACCCGGUAUUGCAGCGCCUCCGAGAACGGUGCCCCCUUU